UACAGAGGGUGCAAGCGUUGUUCGGAAUUAUUGGGCGUAAAGGGCGCGUAGGCGGUGCUGUAAGUCUGUAGUGAAAUCUCUGGGCUCAACUCAGAGUCUGCUAUAGAAACUGCAGUGCUAGAGUGUGGGAGAGGUGAGUGGAAUUCCCGGUGUAGCGGUGAAAUGCGUAGAUAUCGAGAGGAACACCAGUGGCGAAGGCGAGUCCCUGGACAGGUCCUGACGCUGAGGCACGAAAGCUAGGGGAGCAAACAGG
rnacentral:rRNA from 1 species